AGCAAAAGUUAAUGUAAGACCCUGUCUUAUUUUUGGGGAAACAGUAUUUUUACAGAAUAAGGGUUUACAGGUUUCCAGCUGAUAGAUGUAUGAGACUGAAGGGUACAGACACAGUUCUGUGUAUGUUUAAACUAUGCCACCAACUGCAUAAAUUCAGCAAGUUGGCUGAAUUAAUGUGUUUUUCAGGAAGACAACAUUACUUAGCAGAUUUUCUAGCUAGCUUCAUAUUUAGAUGCGGAUACAUGCAAACUAGUGAGCUAAAGAAUCAAUUAAGUUUCUAAGCAGACCACACCAUACCUUUCCAUUGCUUAAAGUAGCAGUCCUAUCAUGCUUACUAUACAUAGGUUUUUAUAAAAGUAAACAAAUUAUAUAUGAAGGCUGAUCUUGCCUUAUAUGUAAAAUAGAUAAUGCUGCGGUCCAUCACCCUAAUUCAUCAGACUGAAACUUAAGUGUCUGGUCUGACCUAGUCUUCCAUGCUUCCUCUACAGUCACUGGAGAGCAGAAGGCAAUCUCUCCUUCACUAAAAUAACUGCCUUAGAUGAGAACGGCCCCCUGAAAGUGACACUCUUGCUCCACAGACUGUAGCAAUCCAGAAAAUUGCUCUAAAUUUUAGGGGUUUUUUGGCUGCAUCUCAUGAAAUUUAAUACAAUAAAUGAAAACUAAAGCCUUGAAGCAGGUGGCUGUGGUGUUGAAAACCAAACAACUGUUGCUUGGAGGUAGCACAGGAGAUGUGCCCCUGUUAUGAAGGUCUUGGACAGAUUAUCAGAUGGGAUCUAGUGCCUGCCUGGACAUUUUUGAGUCCUGGCAUUGCACUGAGGGUGAGUCCAGAGGAGAAUGUGCUCUCUGGCAUUAUGCUGGAUUCCUAUGCCUGGACACCACAGAAGACUUUUGUGAAGGCACAACCAUUGACACCUCUCUGGCCUGCUCCUCACCACAGCCUGCCUCAGUAAUUCUUGGUAUUAGUAUGUCAGUGUCCAAUUUGAACAAAAAGGUACUGCCUUUCUAUAAAUACAUCGGCAGGCAAGAUGGGGAAAAACAGGGGUGUGAAGCUUCUUGUGUCAGUCUCAGAGCUAUAGAGAGGUGACAUACAUCACUGGUACUACCACAAAGACUAUUAGGUCUUUAAAAAUAUGUUCCCUGGGGAUCUAUGGCAUGUAGCAGCUAGCAAAGGCAGAGAACACAUACUCAGAGCCUGACCCAUGUUAGGGACUAGGGUCCCAGCAUGUGGGUUAAACGCAUCUUGUGCACAGCCCCCACAGCCUCUGCAUGGAGCUCCUCCCCAAACACAGCGGGUUAGGGCUGAUGAUGUGGCAGUGGUGUUGCACACACAAAUACUCUGAAAGCCAUCAGCCCUCUCCCCCCACCCCUUUUCUCAUUUCUCCUCCCCUGUGUUACAGUCAUGUUGUUCCCUUACACACUCCCCUCCCUGCUCAGGUCCUUGCAAGGUAAGGGCUAUGCUGGCCAGCUCAGGGGGGUGAUAUUUUGCUGUUGUUUGACUAUUUUCACACAUCCAUGUCUGCAGGUGUUUCUUCCAUUCAGGCUCUUGGCCUUGACACAAAGCUUCCUGAGAUGCUGAUGGCCUCUCAUCAGGCUGGAAAGGUACAGCCUGUGUCCAAGUAUUUCACCCAAAAACUUACGUACAAGGCACAUGGGAAACUCUUCCCAAGAGAAGUGUGUGGGAAGUGCAACAGGUGGGAGCUCUCACAGAGGGAAGGGAGGGAGAAGGUUUCUGUCCUGAAGGGCUUCACUGGGGACUCUGCUGCCCUGGCUCUUAUCAAAUGUUACUCACACAGCAGCAGGUUGCACAGCCCUUAUCACUCAUUUUCCUCUGCUGCUGCACCCCACGCUGCUGCCUGCUGUCACUCUGCAGCCAAGCAGCACGCAGGGCAUGCCCACUGCCUCCUUUUCCUCCUGCAAACCACUCAACCAGAGCUGUGGUGCUUGUCUGAGGGCUGGUCACACAGCGGAGCCACAUGCCAAGACAAAGGAACAGGCUGAAGAGCACAUGGUGGGCAGUGUCUGAACAGACCAGAACAGAGUUAUGGGGAGUGACUGUGCUUGAAUAGAAAGGACGGAGGUUAGAGUGCUGCUGGGACCUAGCAGGCAAAGCAGCCAUGGGGGCAGCACGAUGGCCUCCACCAUACCCUUUCUCCCAGGGGCAGAGGUCAACAGUCAGCACAGAGCCAUACUGCAGAUCUCUGUGUUAAUACACGUGUUACAUUUACUCAUUGAAGAAAGUCUUAACGGCUAAUCCCAUUUCUCUCUGCCCCGCCAAUUCAUAGCUAGAAAACCGUCUGGCUUGCUCGCAGAUGUGCAGGGUGCAACAGCACCUCUAAUUCAAGGAGCAGCGAGGCUGCUUACACGGUGUUUGCAGCACACCUACCAUCAGGUAGGCUGCACGGCCACACCCUCGGCCCACGGGCACCGCUCCCACGGCACAACCAGGGCUGAUGCAGUGACGGCCCCGCCGCUACAGACACCCGGGGGGAGGCAGCCCCUGCCAGAGCCCCGGGCCCUUCCCUCUGCAGCGCCUGUGCGCCCCAGGCUGCGGUUCUAGCAGGGCCGUGUGUGAUCACGGUGCUGCCAUUCAGUACCUACACACAAGGCUUCAUUUAGUCGCCAAGUCAUACCGCCCACCUCACGCAAACCAGUUUCUGCCCGAAUCGAUACAAGCCAGUCCCCCAGCAAGAGAUGGAGCUGAGGAAGACUGAAAAAGCCCUUCUUCCUCUCCACAGAGGCCUGCACAGGCACCCACCUCUCCCUCACCUGCGUGACACGGCGACACUCGACAGGGGUUCCCGGGGAAGCGGCCCGGAGCGCCCCCGCCGCUGCCACCACCGCCACGACAACCGCACCGCCCGCUGCCCAAGCGCGCAGGCGCGGGACCUCCCUCCCAGCGCCGAGCUGCCUACCGCCAGGGGGCGACGCCUGCGUGAGUACGUCACUUCCGGUUGCGCCAGCGGCCGGGCAGGGGAGUGCGGGUCAGUCCCGUCCCUUCCCCUCUGGCCCGGCCCGAGCAUGGAGAAGCUGCGGCGGGUACUGAGCGGGCAGGACGACGAGGAGCAGGGGCUGACGGCGCAGGAUAAAGAGUUGGACCCAACAAGGUCCUCGAUGCCUCAACACUCAGCUUUGGUACUCGAGUCAGAUGGUUUGCCAUAUGUUUUGUUGCUGGCAUUGUGUGUUCUAUUCUUGGAACAGCGUUGCUAUGGCUCCCAAAGGGGGUCAAACUUUUUGCAGUGUUUUACACCCUGGGAAAUAUUGCUGCAUUAGCCAGUACAUGUUUCCUGAUGGGGCCAGUGAAGCAAUUGAAAACAAUGUUUGAGCCAAAAAGAUUAAUAGCUACAGUUGUGAUGUUGCUUUGCCUAAUACUGACUCUGUGUGCUGUAUUCUGGUGGAACAAAAAAGGCUUGGCGGUGUUAUUCUGCAUAUUGCAGUUCUUGGCAAUGACCUGGUAUAGUCUGUCAUAUAUUCCUUUUGCAAGGGAUGCUGUGAUUAAAUGCUUCUCGGCCUGUUUAGGGUAAAUUAAAACCAGGAACCACUGUAUGCUUUAAAAGCCAACUUCUAUUCCUCUGUGAAUUUUGCUUGGAAAACUAUACUUUUUCACUCCUGAAAUACCCAGUAUCAAUUUAGUGGUUUGCUUGCCUUUUGCAUUUGGGGGACUAAGUAAUUUUUACUUGAAACCGUUUUUAAAUAAAUUGGGUGAACUGUUUGUGUUUACCCUGGAACUUUUAGGAUUUUUUAACCAAAAAAAAAAGUGCAUUUAAAUACUUUGAGCAGAGUGGUCUUGAAACUACUUUGCAUCCAGUGACACAAGUUAUUCCCCAGUGGAGGCAGACCACUAAGAUCUGGGUAGUAUGCAUAAAGAUUUCAUUUACAGUUCUGUCUAAAACUUGCAAUAUGCUGUUUAUGUUUGUAUAUGAUUCAUUGUAUGCAUUUCCAAAGACAGAGUUUUAUAAACAUUGUAAAGAUUUGGUAAGUUAUAAUUAACUGCUCCUUUGAAAUGUGUAUACGUGCCUUACAGAGAAGCUUAAUGAGAAUAUGUGAAAGGUCUGUUUAAAAUUUGUUGGAUUGUACUAAAAAGCUAUAUUUUAAAUGAUUUUUUACAUAAAUACUUUUUACUAAACGAACUAAAUGAGAUUUGUGAAAUAAACUAGAUUUAAAGGUGCC